UCCCUGGUGGUUCAGGGGGUAGAGAAUCCACCUGCAAAGUGGGAGACUUGGGUUCGAUCCCUGGGUAGGGAA
rnacentral:tRNA from 1 species